CUUGCAAGAGACUGACCAUUAUGAUUACAACCAUGUAAUGACUAUUUUUCCGACACCUAAUUUUUUGGCUGUCAAUUUUAACCAUCAUGUUAUCAGUUUCGUGAGAAUGUAUGGAAUCUCAAAUCAGUCUGACAAAUUAAGAACACAUCUGAGAAAUAGACAGUUGUAACAUUUUGCCAGUUUACUGUAAGGACAUUCUCAAAGACAUUUACAAAAAGAUACAGGUCUCUCCAAGAUUUUUGUUAUGACCUCAUGCACACUGAUUAAAGCAAUCCUACUGGGACAAUAACAAAGGUGUCACAACCUGAGAAGGAGCUUGAGAAACUAUGUCACAGGGUUGAUAGUCCAUUUGUGGCAACAAAGGAACACACAGAGAAUGCAGUGACCACAACUGCUCCAUCAGUCAAAUCAAUCUUUACACAUUGCUGAAGUAUCACUUCCUUGGUCUUCAUCUUGAUUUUAGGUUCAUGAUGGUUCUGGGACUUUAUCUGUAUUUUGAGUUCCCUAGGGUACAGCUAGGGUUGUCAAGGAGGGCUACAUCUAGGUCUGGUGUAGGUGCAGCUAGGGUAGUACUGGAGAGCUGUAUCCAGGUCUGGUGUAGGUACAGCUAAGGUUGUCAGGGACGGCUACAUCUAGAUCUGGUGUUGGUACAGCUAGGGUUGUCAAGGAGGGCAGCUUCCUGGUCUGGUGUAGGUGCAGCUAGGGUUGUAAAGGAGGGUGGUAUCUAGGGUUGUCAAGGAGGGUUGUAUCUAGGUCUGGUGUAGGUGCAGCUAGGGUUGUCAAGGAGAGCGGUAUCUAGGUCUGGUGUAGGUGCAGCUAGGGUUGUCAAGGA